rnacentral:lncRNA from 1 species
AUCUUUACACACGGCUCUUCUGUCUGGAGGGAGCCUUAUUUCUCCUUUAUGCACUUUCAGGAACUCUGCUGUUUGCUGAAUUUAUGAAGUGGAGAGAAGGGACCUCGCUGUGCCUGCAGCCAUGUGACCCUCGGAGCUUCCCUCUGCUGCAGGACCAGGGCACUCGACACUGACACCCUCCAUUGCCGAGAGUGUCUCCGGAUGGGACGUGAAGGCAGGCGACAACUGUGAUCUUCCUUUAUGAUUGCAGUCCCCCAUCCGCUCACGGACGCUUGACGCUUUCUUGAGCACCUGGAUGCGGCAGUGACACUUCCAGGCAGGUGCUGUUGGAGCAAAUAAGCAGGUCCAAAUCCCCGCCCGGAGCUGCUGCCCAUGCCGGGGGAGACACUCAGGACACAGACUGGCAGAUAACCUGCGCUGAGGGACUGGAGGAUGGGAAGGGCUCGCUGGGGGAGGUGUACAGCAAGAUGGGCCGGGACCCCGGGGGCAGGAGUGCAGUCGUCAGUAGGACAGCCAAGGCAUCCCUAGAAGCUGGCACUUGGACCAAGCCAGAAGGGAGUGAGGGGUACAGGCAGGCUGACCGCAGGGGCAAGAAAGCAAGCGCCAGGGUCCUGAGGCAGGAUAGGGAGUGGUGGGUGCCCUGGAGUGGUAAGGAUGAGGACAGAGAAGUGGCAGGCCCGUGAGCAUUGCUGAGACCUCUCAGGUCCUCAGGGAGAGGCAGGGGCCAGGGAAGGCCUUGGGGCUGACAAGCACAAGACCCACCUCUCUUGACUCCCUGGAGGAGCCCACCAGGAGGAGAGAAUCUGAGGCAGCCCCAUUCCACCCACACGCCCACCCCCUCCAGCUGACUGCUCUAGCCAGACUGAACUUCUUCCAGCUUCCUGAAUGUUCUCUCCACCGGGGCCCAUGGGCUUCCCUCCUUUCACCCAGUGACUUGCUCUUCUAGAGGCCAGAGGAGCCUCACAAGGGAUGAGCUUGCUGGGCAUGGACAUCCACCGGCUGCACGCAGCAGGGACAGUCCUCCCCAAGAUCAAGAGUUGGGGGUAAGCAGGGACUCCCCCUCUGCAGCCUCAGAACUCAGCUGCUUUCAUCAAACCAACUCUUGCUGCAGGACCAGCACGAGGCCAUCUGUCCAUGGUGGGCCCUCUGGCUUCCAGUUCUUGGCAGGCAUGCUGUCCAGCCAGAACCCCUCUGAGAAAAAGGCUGUUUCCCCAUCUGUAAAAUGAGGGUGACGACGGACAACUUGCGGGACUAAGGUGGAGGUGGACUGAGGUUCUGACGGCCCCAUCUGGACUGUAAGGCGAGGGUGCUUUGUAGGACUCUGCCCUUCUCAUUACGAGACUUUGCACAGUGGUCCUACUGGAUGCUGGAUACACAGAGAGGAUGGAACGUCUCCGUCCUCAGGAAUCUGAAGGCCCUGAAGUGGCAUCACUUGCAUGGUUAUGAGGGUCGUGAUUGUCUCCCGAUGGGCUGGGAAGGACCCAAUGGCAGGAAAAGGAACACUGGCCACUGGGGAGAGCCCUGGCUAGAGCAGGACGGCCUGGGCUGAGCCGAGGUUGGCUGCUGUGUCUCGGGAAUCUCCUGUCCUUCGGUGGCGCCAGGCAGUCAUGGGAUGGGACCAGGGCUUCUGUGAGUCCCCCAUGCCCAUGGCUCCUCCAGUGCUGCCACCUGAGGACCUUCCUCCUGAGCCGACCUCCUUCCGCCUCUUUCCAGGGCUCCUCCUGGCUGCCCGUCUGCCUGGUAAUGUCGGGGCUCAUUUUCUUUGAAGAUGGCUGUUGGGUUGCCUCUUUCCUGUUUAUUUGUGAGCUGCAGUGUGAAAUAGCUACUAAUUCAGAUUUUUACUGUGGAUAAACAAAUACAGAAAAUUAACAGAUGUGUUUUGCCGAUGUACUCAGCAAAAAUAACAUCCAUCGUGAUGGCAGGCAUGGAGGAGGACGGAGCCAUGAGGAGGCCGAGAGCCCGGACCCAACAUCCACAGUGCGAAACCCGAGACAUCAGAGAGGGUGGCAGAGUGUGAUGUGGCCAGGUUAGCCUCCUGGACCAGGAAGCAGAACUGGAGAGGGACAGAGGGCAGGAGCACAUGGACCCCAGAAGGGCAGGGAGGCGGAGCCCCGGGUUGGACCAGGUGGCCAUGAGUUCAUCUGGAAUCCAGCAUGGCAGAGACCCCAGGCUGGAGGCCCGGGAAGACUCCGUAGCAGAGGAAGUUGGACCAGAGCAUGUGGAUUUCAAAGUGCAUCAGGAGGCCGAGGGCCUGCAGAUAUUUGGAUCUCAGCAAUGGAAUGGGAACUAGACCCCUAAAGGCAGGACAAAGCCCCCGGGGAUGCCCCAGCCACAGCAAGGCAGGACGGAGCCCUCGGGGAAGUCCCAGUCAUGACAAGCCAGGACAGAAUCCUUGGAGACACCCCAGCCACAGCUGGUUUCAGUGUCUGCAUCCCAAUUCAAGAUGCAGAGAAACCUCCAAGUUUCUCUUGCCACAGGAAAGGGGGCGAGGAGAGCAGGUCCCUGGAAAGGACUGUGGAGGAGAACCCAGCAGGUGCGCCCCACAGCCCUGGUGCCUUUAUCAACCCC